UCGGGAAUUUUGGGCAAUGGGCGCAAGCCUGACCCAGCAACGCCGCGUGAAGGAUGAAGCUUUUCGGAGUGUAAACUUCAUAAGAAUGGGACGAAUAAACGUGGGCUAACAUCCCAUGUGAUGACGGUACCAUUUGUAAGCUCCGGCUAACUCCGUGCCAGCAGCCGCGGUAAUACGGGGGGAGCAAGCGUUGUUCGGAUUUACUGGGCGUAAAGGGCGCGUAGGCGGGCGCAACAAGUCGCUUGUGAAAUCUCCUGGCUCAACUAGGAGCGGUCAAGCGAUACUGUCGUGCUAGAGUGCGGAAGGGGCUACUGGAAUUCUCGGUGUAGCGGUGAAAUGCGUAGAUAUCGAGAGGAACACCUGCGGCGAAGGCGGGUAGCUGGGCCGACACUGACGCUGAUGCGCGAAAGCCAGGGGAGCGAACGGGAUUAGAUACCCCGGUAGUCCUGGCCUUAACGAUGGAUGCUUGGUGUCCGGGGUUACAUAGUCCCUGGGUGCCGGCGCUAACGCAUUAA
rnacentral:rRNA from 1 species